UUGUUCCUUUUUCCUAUGCAUAUACUUCUUUGAGAAUUGGAUCUAAAGAGGCAUAAGGCAUGGGAAAAUGGGGCGA
rnacentral:pre_miRNA from 1 species